GGAGAGCAAGCAAUACUGGUGUGUGCCUUGGGCUUCAAACCCACAGAGCGUUUAGGUGUUCUAGGCGCUGCAAAGUUCGAUUCUUUGGCUCUCUC
rnacentral:tRNA from 1 species